rnacentral:misc_RNA from 1 species
AACGAACGAUCAUCACCUCCGGCGGGCCGGUYUCUUAGCUGAUUCCGUGCCCGCUGGAUCCGUGGUUUCGCGAAGUGCUCCGAUCACGACUCGCGUCUUCGAUCUGGGCUCUGCGCGUUGCUUCCGGACUUAACAAAACCCCGGCACGAAAAGUGUCAAGGAACAUGCARCUAAACAGCUACCCAUCCGCGGUCCCCGGAGACGGUGUGUCCGCGGAUGCUUAGCCGUAAAAUCUAAAGUCUAAAACGACUCUCGGCAACGGAUAUCUCGGCUCUCGCAUCGAUGAAGAACGUAGCGAAAUGCGAUACUUGGUGUGAAUUGCAGAAUCCCGUGAACCAUCGAGUCUUUGAACGCAAGUUGCGCCCCAAGCCUUCUGGCCGAGGGCACGUCUGCCUGGGUGUCACAAAUCGUCGUCCCCUCCAUCCUCUCGAGGAUUGCGGGACGGAAGCUGGUCUCCCGUGUGUUACCGCACGCAGUUGGCCAAAAUCCGAGCCAAGGACGCCGGGAGCGUCUCGACAUGCGGUGGUGAAAACAAAGCCUCUUCAUAUCGUCGGUCCGCUCCUGUCCGGAAGCUCUAGAUGACCCAGAGUCCUCAACGCGACCC